rnacentral:tRNA from 1 species
GCCUGGGUGGCGGAACAGGUAGACGCACGGGACUUAAAAUCCCGUGGUACUUAGUACCGUACCGGUUCGAUUCCGGUCCUAGGCACCA